CUUGUUUUUCUUUCCGCAGAUUAUCCAAAUUGACGUCAAAAGUGUUCAGAUAUCAGAUGUACUACAGCUAAAGAAUGAAAUUAAUUGUGGUCAUUUCACAGCUUUUGCCUACAGUCAGCUUUUUAUGGUAGGAUAAUAUGCACGUCUUAAGUAUUAAUAGUGUAUACAAAUGUAAAAUGUAAAAAAUCAAUGUAUACACACCUUUUAUCAAUUAAUAAUUUGUUCAUUCAUUUUCACAAAUUUUGAUAAAUUACAUUGCACAUAAUCUAAAUAAAUUAUCACAUAUUAAAGUAAACAAUAAGUAUAUCCAAUUGGACAAAUAUAAGUUUCAAGUAGACAAUUAUUCUAUAAUAUUACAAAAGUGGCAGAUGACCUGUAGUUGUUAAUUUCUGUAUCAUUUGGUCUCUUGUAAAGAGUUGUCUCAUAGGCAAAUACAUGUUACAAUCUGUUAGGGAGCUGAUUUUACUGAUUCAGACAAUUUAUUUCAUUCUAUCUUGAUUGAUUAUGUAGCACUUAAACAAUUGUCACAAGCAAACAUGUAUUUGAAUUUCAAGUUAUUAUUUUAAUAAAUUGAGGCUUUAUUAUUUCAGUGAAUUAAAGAAUGAAGAGAAAUCAACUUAUUUAUACCCAAGCUGACCAACUGUCAAGAAAGAGAAGACAAGGCAACUCCAUCUGAAGGAAAUUAAA
rnacentral:lncRNA from 1 species